GGAUUAGAUACCCUGGUAGUCCACGCUGUAAACGAUGUCAACUAGCUGUUGGUCAUAUAGAUGUGAUUAGUGGCGCAGCAAACGCGAUAAGUUGACCGCCUGGGGAGUACGGUCGCAAGAUUAAAACUCAAAGGAAUUGACGGGGGCCCGCACAAGCGGUGGAGCAUGUGGUUUAAUUCGAUGCAACGCGAAGAACCUUACCUACCCUUGACAUACAGCGAAUCUGAGAGAGAUCUUGGAGUGCCUUCGGGAGCGCUGCUACAGGUGCUGCAUGGCUGUCGUCAGCUCGUGCCG
rnacentral:rRNA from 1 species